rnacentral:rRNA from 1 species
UGGGGAAUUUUGGACAAUGGGCGAAAGCCUGAUCCAGCAAUGCCGCGUGUGUGAAGAAGGCCUUCGGGUUGUAAAGCACUUUUGUCCGGAAAGAAAUCCUUGGCUCUAAUACAGUCGGGGGAUGACGGUACCGGAAGAAUAAGCACCGGCUAACUACGUGCCAGCAGCCGCGGUAAUACGUAGGGUGCAAGCGUUAAUCGGAAUUACUGGGCGUAAAGCGUGCGCAGGCGGUUUGCUAAGACCGAUGUGAAAUCCCCGGGCUCAACCUGGGAACUGCAUUGGUGACUGGCAGGCUAGAGUAUGGCAGAGGGGGGUAGAAUUCCACGUGUAGCAGUGAAAUGCGUAGAGAUGUGGAGGAAUACCGAUGGCGAAGGCAGCCCCCUGGGCCAAAUACUGACGCUCAUGCACGAAAGCGUGGGGAGCAAACAGGAUUAGAUACCCUGGUAGUCCACGCCCUAAAACGAUGUCAACUAGUUGUUGGGGAUUCAUUUCCUUAGUAACGUAGCUAACGCGUGAAGUUGACCGCCUGGGGAGUACGGUCGCAAGAUUAAAACUUAAAGGAAUUGACGGGGU